AUUGAACGCUGGCGGCAGGCUUAACACAUGCAAGUCGAGCGGGGUGAUGGUGCUUGCACUAUCACUUAGCGGCGGACGGGUGAGUAAUGCUUAGGAAUCUGCCUAUUAGUGGGGGACAACAUCUCGAAAGGGAUGCUAAUACCGCAUACGUCCUACGGGAGAAAGCAGGGGAUCACUUGUGACCUUGCGCUAAUAGAUGAGCCUAAGUCGGAUUAGCUAGUUGGUGGGGUAAAGGCCUACCAAGGCGACGAUCUGUAGCGGGUCUGAGAGGAUGAUCCGCCACACUGGGACUGAGACACGGCCCAGAAUCCUACGGGAGGCAGCAGUGGGGAAUAUUGGACAAUGGGGGGAACCCUGAUCCAGCCAUGCCGCGUGUGUGAAGAGGGCCUUAUGGUUGUAAAGCACUUUAAGCGAGGAGGAGGCUCUUUUGGUUAAUACCCAAGAUGAGUGGACGUUACUCGCAGAAUAAGCACCGGCUAACUCUGUGCCAGCAGCCGCAGUAA
rnacentral:rRNA from 1 species